rnacentral:lncRNA from 1 species
GAGUGCGGCUACUAUUUCCAACAAAAGAAAAAAAGGAAGGAGAGAGAGGGUCAUAGGUUGAAAACCGAGACAACCUACUGGAUUGAAUUCAGGGUUUUACGUCUCCAGUCUCCUAAUUCAAAUCAGUUUUUAAUCAGAAGAGUUUCCUUCUUCUUCUCCGUUUUCGGAAGCAGCUACAUUUCAGCUAAACAACUGGUCGACCCCAUAUCCCAUUGAAAUUGUGCCACGUCAUCCCAUGGUCCUGUAAAAUUGGUGGUCCCAUUUGAAGCACUGGAUCAUGCGGCGAUCAUGGAUAUCUACAGAAACUUUCAGUGAUGGA